UACAGAGGGGGCAAGCGUUGUUCGGAUUCACUGGGCGUAAAGGGUGCGUAGGUGGUAAGGCAAGUCAGGUGUGAAAUCUCCGGGCUCAACCCGGAAAUGGCAUUCGAAACUACCUUGCUAGAGGGUUUGAGGGGGGACUGGAAUACUUGGUGUAGCAGUGAAAUGCGUAGAUAUCAAGUGGAACACCAGUGGCGAAGGCGGUUCUCUGGGCCUUACCUGACGCUGAGGAACGAAAGCAUGGGGAGCAAACAGG
rnacentral:rRNA from 1 species